UAACUCCUCAUUGUAAACAGACU
rnacentral:piRNA from 1 species